AACGAACGCUGGCGGCAUGCCUAACACAUGCAAGUCGAACGAGACCUUCGGGUCUAGUGGCGCACGGGUGCGUAACGCGUGGGAACCUGCCCUUAGGUUCGGAAUAACUCCCCGAAAGGGGUGCUAAUACCGGAUAAUGUCUUCGGACCAAAGAUUUAUCGCCUUUGGAUGGGCCAGCGUUGGAUUAGCUAGUUGGUAGGGUAAAAGCCUACCAAGGCGACGAUCCAUAGCUGGUCUGAGAGGCUGAGCAGCCACACUGGGACUGAGACACGGCCCAGACUCCUACGGGAUGCAGCAGUGGGGAAUAUUGGACCAUGGGCGAAAGCCUGAUCCAGCAAUGCCGCGUGAGUGAUGAAGGCCUUAGGGUUGUAAAGCUCUUUUACCCGUGAUGAUAAUGACAGUACCGGGAGAAUAAGCUCCGGCUAACUCCGUG
rnacentral:rRNA from 1 species